UCAGGUAAACUCUAUGCGGUGAAAUGCCACGUAAACUCACGCUUGAGGGUCCCCGCCCGAUGUGAAAGGGUAGGCAGAUAGAUCUUGUCGGCAACGGCAAGGCCAGAUAAAUGAUAAGGAUGCCCACCAUUGGUAGGUAGACAGAACCCGGCUUACAGGCUUGCA
rnacentral:RNase_P_RNA from 11 species